rnacentral:rRNA from 1 species
AUACGGGGGGUGCAAGCGUUAUUCGGAUUUAUUGGGCGUAAAGAGCGCGUAGGCGGUUUGUCAAGUCAGAUGUGAAAGCCCUGGGCUCAACCUGGGAAGUGCAUUUGAAACUAGUAGACUUGAGUAUGGGAGAGGGGAGUGGAAUUCCUGGUGUAGAGGUGAAAUUCGUAGAUAUCAGGAGGAACACCGGUGGCGAAGGCGACUUCCUGGACCAAUACUGACGCUGAGGCGCGAAGGGCGUGGGGAGC